CACACGAUGACAAUCCAUUUUUCCUAGAAUAGAAAAGGAAGAUAGUGUUAGCCUAUAAUACAGAAGAAGAAACACAUUUAACAUGUACGUGUUGAGUUCAGUUAAGUUUUGGAGGAAAGGUUAACAAAUUAGAGUGAUGAUAUUCACACCAGUGUACUGUAAUCCUAGAAACAUGCAUGACGGCGUCCGUUAUUAUCUUCUGGAACUGUCCAUUCAUAUUCCUCCGCUACAAAGAAAGGAGAGAACACGAUUGCGGUUUCAUCUGACAUUCAAUCAUUAUUAAAAUAAACGAAGACUUCAAAGA